rnacentral:rRNA from 1 species
UAAUUAGGCAGUGGAAAAGUAAAUAAUUAGGAUUGACUUAGUAAGGGCGACUGAAGCGUCAAAAGCUCACCAUGUGAAUCUGCACCUUGUGUGCUGAAUUGUGGUCUGGAGGCUCUAGCAAUCUGAGGUUGGGCCAGGUCUUCUGGAAUGGGGCAGUUAACAGGGUGAAACUCCUGUGUGCCUGACCUUUGGAGCGAGUUUCACAGAGUCGAGUUGUUUGGGAUUGCAGCUCUAAGAGGGUGGUAAAUUCCAUCGAAAGCAAAAUAAUGGUGGARGACCGAUAGCAAACAAGUACCGUGAGGGAAAGAUGCAAAGAACUUUGAAAAGAGAGUUAAAGAGUACCUGAAAUUGCUGAAAAGGAAGCAAAGAAAAUCAGUGCCAGUUCUGUCAUAUUUCCCUGCUUGCUUGCGGUCAGGGUGCUGUGGCAAACUUAGUUUAGGUCAAUUGAUUUGGAUGGUAGGGCAGUUGACGGAAUUAGCGUGAAUUGCCUGAGUCCAAGUUGUUUGACGCUGAUAAAAUGAUUUUCUUUUCCCCGUCUAGAAACACGGACCAAGGAGUCUGUCAUGUGUGCGAGUACAGAGGCGUGUUACUUCUGUGCGCAAUGAAAGUGAUAGUGGCUGGAAUUUAUUGCACAGUCUGCCGGCCACAAUCCCUCGGGAGAAUGGUCUGCGUGUGAGCAUAUAUGGUGGGACCCGAAAGAUGGUGAACUAUGCUUGAGUAGGGUGAAGUCAGGGGAAACUCUGGUGAAGGCUUGAAGUGAUUCUGACGUGCAAAUCGAUCGUCAAACUUGAGUAUAGGGGCGAAAGACUAAUCGAACCAUCUAGUAGCUGGUUCCCUCCGAAAUUUCCCUUAGGAUAGCUGCAAUCUUUGACCAAUUUUGUCAGGUAAAG